rnacentral:rRNA from 1 species
UACGGAGGGAGCUAGCGUUGUUCGGAAUUACUGGGCGUAAAAGCGCACGUAGGCGGCGACUCAAGUCAGAGGUGAAAAGCCCGGGGGCUCACCCCCCCGGAAGGGGCAUUGGAAACUGGCGGACUCGAGUCUCGGAGAGGAAGGUGGAAUUCCUGGUGUAGCGGUGAAAUGCGUAGAUAUCAGGAGGAAUACCGGUGGCGAAGGCGGCCUUCUGGACGAUGACUGACGCUGAGACGCGAAAGCGUGGGGAGCAAACAGG